rnacentral:rRNA from 1 species
GACGAACGCUGGCGGCGUGCCUAACACAUGCAAGUCGAACGGACAGGCCCUGCUUUUGCGGGGUUCUCGAGUGGCGCACGCGUGAGUAACACGUGAGUAACCUGCACUUGUCUUUGGGGUAACUUUAGGAAACAGGGGCUAAUACCGGAUAGGAGCUCUUGCUGCAUGGUGGGGGUUGGAAAGUUUCGGCGGUUGGGGAUGGACUAGCGGCUUAUCGGCUUGUUGGUGGGGUAGUGGCUUACCAAGGCUUUGACGGGUAGCCGGCCUGAGAGGGUGACCGGCCACAUUGGGACUAAGAUACGGCCCAGACUCCUACGGUAGGCAGCAGUGGAGAAUAUUGCACAAUGAGCGGAAGCCUGAUGCAGCAACGCCGCGUGCGGGAUAACGGCCUUCGAGUUGUAAACCGCUUUCGCCUGUGACGAAGCGUGAGUGACGGUAAUGGGUAAAGAAGCACCGGCUAACUACGUG